GAAAAAUGCAUUGUUACAAGAGCGGGAUAGGCUUUACAAGCUUUUGUCAGACGUGCCAUUUCUCAAUCCAUUUCCAAGCUAUUCUAAUUUCAUUCUUUGCGAGGUUAAAUCUGGAAGAGCUUGGAAAUGGAUUGAGAAAUGGCACUNAGGAUGAUCUUGCAAGUUUGGGUAUAAUGGUUCGACACUACAACAACAAAGAACUGAAGGGUUAUAUUCGCGUAUCGGUUGGGAAGCCUGAACAAACAGAUGCCUUGAUGCAAGGCCUCAAGAGGAUUUCAUGAUUCAUUUCCUAUUCUAGGUAGGAACUGCUAGGAAGCCUCAAGUACAAGGAUUCAAUUCUUUUUCUUUUUAUAUUCAGAACCCUCCACCCCAUAAGUGUAUUUCUAACAUUUCUCAUCUAAUCGUUUCUAAGAGCUAG
rnacentral:misc_RNA from 1 species